UGGCUGUUCGGUCAGCUUCGUGUCGUGAGAUGUUCGGUUAAGUCCGCUAACGAGCGCAACCCUCACUGUGUGUUAUUAUGUGUCACACGGGACUGCCGGUUUUAAGCCGGAGGAAGGUGGGGAUGACGUCAAGUCAGCAUGGCCUUUAUAUCCUGGGCUACACACACGCUACAAUGGUCGGUACAAUAGGUUGCCAAGCCGCGAGGCGGAGCCAAUCCACAAAGCCGGCCUCAGUUCAGAUUGUAGGCUGCAACUCGCCUGCAUGAAGAUGGAGUUGCUAGUAACCGCAGGUCAGCAAUACUGCGGUGAAUACGUUCCCGGGUCUU
rnacentral:rRNA from 1 species